rnacentral:rRNA from 1 species
UACGUAGGGGGGCUAGCGUUGUCCGGAUUUAUUGGGCGUAAAGAGCGUGUAGGCGGCCAGGUAGGUCUGGUGUGAAAACUCGAGGCUUAACCUCGAGAUGUCAUCGGAAACCAUCUGGCUAGAGUCCGGAAGAGGAGAGUGGAAUUCCUGGUGUAGCGGUGAAAUGCGCAGAUAUCAGGAAGAACACCUAUGGCGAAGGCAGCUCUCUGGGACGGUACUGACGCUGAGACGCGAAAGCGUGGGGAGCGAACAGG